AGAGGGAGACUUAAGACCGCCACGCCACGUCAGCCCACAGUCUAGAAUGGGCAGCAGCAGCAGGAGGAGGAGGUAGUGCAGCGCCUUGCCACGUCAGCGCCGCCGUCUGCAUGCCUGAGGGAGUGCUGAGGGAGUCUAGGCUAUAUGCACGACCUCUCUAACUUGGGCCGAGAGGAGGCAACAAGGACAGCGCUCAUGAAUGCAAGGUGUGUGUAUCUUCAAUCAACGGGAGCAAGGAGGAUCAAGACUGGCUAGUAAACUGGAAACGAAGGUCAAGAAGACAUGUGUUCAGCAGCAUCAAUGGUAGAGUCCACUCACUGCACAUCAAGAAGUACACAGCAGUAG